rnacentral:rRNA from 1 species
AUUGAACGCUGGCGGCAGGCCUAACACAUGCAAGUCGAACGAGUGGCGGACGGGUGAGUAAUGUCUGGGAAACUGCCUGAUGGAGGGGGAUAACUACUGGAAACGGUAGCUAAUACCGCAUACCAUCGGAUGUGCCAAGAUGGGGUUAGCUAGUAGGUGGGGUAAAGGCUCACCUAGGCGACGAUCCCUAGCUGGUCUGAGAGGAUGACCAGCCACACUGGAACGGAGACGCGGCACAGACUCCUACGGGAGGCGACAGUGGGGAAUAGUGCACAGGGGACGGAAGCCUGAUGCAACCAUGCCGCGUGGAGGAAGAAGGCCUUCGGGUUUUAGAGUACUUUCAGCUGGGAGGCGUUACCCGCAGAAUAAGCACCGGCUAACUCCGUGCCAGCAGCCGCGGUAAUUC